rnacentral:rRNA from 1 species
GAUGAACGCUAGCUACAGGCUUAACACAUGCAAGUCGCGGGGCAGCAUGGGGGUUGCUUGCAAUCCCCGAUGGCGACCGGCGCACGGGUGAGUAACGCGUAUCCAACCUGCCCUUCACCACGGGAUAACCCGGCGAAAGUCGGACUAAUACCGUAUGUUGUCCAUUGACGGCAUCCGAUUUGGACGAAAGGCUUGGCGGUGAGGGAUGGGGAUGCGUCCGAUUAGCCAGACGGCGGGGUAACGGCCCACCGUGGCUACGAUCGGUAGGGGUUCUGAGAGGAAGGUCCCCCACACUGGAACUGAGACACGGUCCAGACUCCUACGGGAGGCAGCAGUGAGGAAUAUUGGUCAAGGGGCGUAAGCCUGAACCAGCCAAGUAGCGUGCAGGAUGACGGCCCUAUGGGUUGUAAACUGCUUUUAUGCGGGGAUAAAGUGGCCCACGUGUGGGCUUUUGCAGGUACCGCAUGAAUAAGGACCGGCUAAUUCCGUG